rnacentral:lncRNA from 1 species
UUGUUUUGCUUUUUCCUUUUUUUCCUUUUCGUCUAAAACUUUAUUUUUCUUUGUAGUUAUGGUAUGAAACCAAGUCAUCAUAUUCAAAAUGUGAGAAAUCCUCCACACAAUAUCCCCCCGAAUGGUUGAAAGUAAGAAGGUCAAGUUCCUCUCAUUAAUCUCCUCAUUCACCAAAACCUCAAAGGAGCUAUUAUAUUCUACAUAAAUGUUAACCGGUUGAGAUUUUUGUCAACUAAACACUAAAAAUCCAUUAAUAAACUAACAACCCAAACUCUAAAUCCUUGAAUAAAAUAACAACCAUACUCACCUCAUGUGCCAG